CCUGGUGGCAAUAGCGUUGUGGACCCACCUGAACCCAUGCCGAACUCAGAAGUGAAACGCAACUGCGCCGAUGAUAGUGUG
rnacentral:rRNA from 1 species